rnacentral:rRNA from 1 species
UACAGAGGGUGCGAGCGUUAAUCGGAAUUACUGGGCGUAAAGCGUGCGUAGACGGUUAUGUAAGUCGGGUGUGAAAGCCCCGGGCUCAACCUGGGAAUUGCAUUCGAGACUGCAUAGCUAGGGUGCGGAAGAGGGAAGCGGAAUUUCCGGUGUAGCGGUGAAAUGCGUAGAUAUCGGAAGGAACACCAGUGGCGAAAGCGGCUCCUGGUCCAGCACCGACGUCAGGCACGAAAGCGUGGGGAGCAAACAGG